rnacentral:rRNA from 1 species
CAGUCGCCGCGGUAAUACGAAGGGGGCUAGCGUUGCUCGGAAUUACUGGGCGUAAAGGGAGCGUAGGCGGAUGUUUAAGUCAGAGGUGAAAGCCCAGGGCUCAACCUUGGAACUGCCUUUGAUACUGGACAUCUUGAGUGUGGGAGAGGUAAGCGGAACUCCGAGUGUAGAGGUGAAAUUCGUAGAUAUUCGGAAGAACACCAGUGGCGAAGGCGGCUUACUGGCCCAUUACUGACGCUGAGGCUCGAAAGCGUGGGGAGCAAACAGGAUUAGAUACCCGUGUAGUCCCUGUCUCUUAUAC